GGAAUGGUGUGGAUCAAUGGGUUGAGCAUCUGCUUUGCAUGCAAAAGGUCUCAGGUUCAACCCCCAGCUUCUCCA